rnacentral:rRNA from 1 species
AACGAACGCUGGCGGCAUGCCUAACACAUGCAAGUCGAACGAUCCCUUCGGGGAUAGUGGCGCACGGGUGCGUAACGCGUGGGAACCUGCCCUUAGGUUCGGAAUAACUCAGAGAAAUUUGAGCUAAUACCGGAUAAUGUCUUCGGACCAAAGAUUUAUCGCCUUUGGAUGGGCCCGCGUUGGAUUAGCUAGUUGGUGGGGUAAAGGCCUACCAAGGCGACGAUCCAUAGCUGGUCUGAGAGGAUGAUCAGCCACACUGGUACUGAGACACGGCCCAGACUCCUACGGGAGGCAGCAGUGGGGAAUAUUGGACAAUGGGCGAAAGCCUGAUCCAGCAAUGCCGCGUGAGUGAUGAAGGCCUUAGGGUUGUAAAGCUCUUUUACCCGGGAUGAUAAUGACAGUACCGGGAGAAUAAGCCCCGGCUAACUCCGUG